AUUCCGUAGGUGAACCUGCGGAAGGAUCAUUAAAGAGUAAGGGUCUUCGGGCCCGAUCUCCAACCCUUUGUUUAACUACCAUGUUGCUUUGGCGGGCCCGUCUCACGACCGCCGGAAGUUUGGCUUCGACCAAACUUCUGGCCCGUGCCCGUCAGUGGCCCCUUCAAAUUCUUGAUCAAGUAUGAUGUCUUAGUUAAAAACUUAAUAGUUAAAACUUUCAACAACGGAUCUCUUGGUUCCG
rnacentral:misc_RNA from 1 species